UACGUAGGUGGCAAGCGUUGUUCGGAAUUACUGGGCGUAAAGGGCGCGUAGGCGGCCUGCUAAGUCGAACGUGAAAUCCCUGGGCUCAACCCAGGAACUGCGUCCGAUACUGGUUGGCUUGAAUCCGGGAGAGGGAUGUGGAAUUCCAGGUGUAGCGGUGAAAUGCGUAGAUAUCUGGAGGAACACCGGUGGCGAAGGCGGCAUCCUGGACCGGCAUUGACGCUGAGGAGCGAAAGCCAGGGGAGCAAACGGG
rnacentral:rRNA from 1 species